GAUGAACGCUGGCGGCGUGCCUAAUACAUGCAAGUCGAGCGAACGGACGAGAAGCUUGCUUCUCUGAUGUUAGCGGCGGACGGGUGAGUAACACGUGGAUAACCUACCUAUAAGACUGGGAUAACUUCGGGAAACCGGAUCUAAUCCCGGAUAAUAUUUUGAACCGCAUGGUUCAAAAGUGAAAGACGGUCUUGCUGUCACUUAUAGCUGGAUCCGCGCUGCAUUAGCUAGUUGGUAAGGUAACGGCUUACCAAGGCAACGAUGCCUAGCCGAGCUGAGAGGGUGAUCGGCCACCCUGGAACUGAGACACGGUCCAGAGGCCUACGGGAGGCAGCAGUAGGGAACCUUACGCAAUGGGCGAAAGCCUGACGGAGCAACGCCGCGUGAGUGAUGAAGGUCUUCCGAUCGGAAAACUCUGCUAUUAGGGAAGAACAGAUGUGUAAGUAACUGUGCACAGCGUGACGGUAACUAAUCAGAAAGCCACGGCUAACUACGUG
rnacentral:rRNA from 1 species